rnacentral:misc_RNA from 1 species
GAUGAAGAACGCAGCGAAAUGCGAUAAGUAAUGUGAAUUGCAGAAUUCAGUGAAUCAUCGAAUCUUUGAACGCAUCUUGCGCUCCUUGGUAUUCUGAGGAGCAUGCCUGUUUGAGCGUCAUUAAAUUCUCAACUACACUGACUUUGAAUUGGUGUGGCUUGGAUUUGGGGGGAAAAUUGUUGUGGGCUUUUUGUAUAGUCUGCUCCCCUGAAAUUGAUUAGCGGUACCUUUGUGGAACUGUCUACAGGUGUGAUAAUUAUCUACAUCUUAGACAUCUGCUGGAAUGCUGCUUUCUAAACCUUACUUGUAUUGACAAUCUUGACCUCAAAUCAGGUAGGACUACCCGCUGAACUUAAGCAUAUCAAUAAGCGGAGGA